rnacentral:rRNA from 1 species
UACAGAGGGUGCGAGCGUUAAUCGGAAUUACUGGGCGUAAAGGGCGCGUAGGCGGCUAUAUAAGUGAGGUGUGAAAGGCUUGGGCUUAACCUGGGCACUGCACUUUAGACUGUAUGGCUAGAGUAGAGUAGAGGAAAGCGGAAUUUCCGGUGUAGCGGUGAAAUGCGUAGAUAUCGGAAAGAACAUCAGUGGCGAAGGCGGCUUUCUGGACUUAUACUGACGCUGAGGCGCGAAAGCAUGGGUAGCAAACAGG